UUCAAGUUCAAACAUAGGCAAAAAGGAAUAGUUUGGAAUGAUUGGUGUAAAGAAGUAAUACAUGCCGGUAAAAGACCAACUUAUCCAGAUAGAAAGGGGAGAGGCUACUGUCGAGGCUAGGUGUCAGUCAUGACACCUGGCACGGGCUAAGCUGCUCAGACAAUAGGGUCCACUAAACCACUUUCGCAACUCACUUGGCCUCCAACACAUGGACCGUGACAGGUUGUGCACACCUCUCAUAUGGCUUCCCAAAACGUUAAGCUAAGUUAUACAAAUUUCACUAGCGUGUAACGAUUGUAAAUCAAACAAUUUCAUUAGUUGUUAUUAAAAAAUAUUUUUAAAAAGAAAAUUUGCAGUCAUAAUGCCACCCAACUAGGAUUUAUGAACUAUCAUGAUGAGAGUACCAUGUUCAUAUGUAAUGUUCUUGAUUUAACAUAUGACGAAAGCAUCGUUGAUAGAUAUAGAUGACUUAUGUGUUGCCACACAUUAUGCUCAACCAACUACACUGUCUUGAUGAGCGUCAGCUAACCAACAUACUUUCAUAAGGGUUUGGAUCUUGUCACCAUUACAAUGAAUAUGUUGUUAGUGUUCCAACAUUCUCGUCUUUUACAGGGCCUCUACAUUAGCUUUUCAGUAAAAAAAAACCCACCAUAAAGAUAUCGAAAACGACUUAUUGUAGUCUAGCACAAACUUAAAGCAAGCCUUAUCCAACUCACCGGCAAAAUAAAAAAUAUUGCAACUUCAUCAAAAAUUUAAUCAUACCACAAGCUUAACGCAGACCUUAUCCAACUCAUUGCAAAAUAAAAAAUAUUGUAACUUCAUCAAAAAUAAUCAUACCGCAAAAUAUUGUAAAGAAAUCUAAAGAUUAAAUAACAUAUUAAGAUUGUAAAACAAAUACUCAUUCUAGUCAAAUCCUUAUGUGUUUCAACCAUGACUUUCUACAAAUAACAAACCAUUUAGACCACACUGUGUUUUGUAUGAGUUAAAUGAUCAUAUCAAGAUUGUAAAACAAAUACACAUUCUAGUCAAAUUAAUCCCAUAUAUAUGAAAAGUUACUCAUAGUUUAGUUAAAGUUAAAGUUAAUAUAUACUCCAACAAAGAACUUCAUAAUUUGAAUAUAACGUUAAAAAUUUAAUACAUAAGACACGUAAACUUUAAUUGUUGUAUUUACAUUUUUUUUUUGACAGGAAAAAAAAUGAUCGAGACAAAAGAUAUUUUAGAUGAAUACUCACAAUUUUUUUUGUGGUAUUUACAUAAUACGAGAUAGUAUUGCUUGAGGUCCAAAUUAUCUGUUGGGGGACCAAAACUAAUUAAUGAUCGAGACAUUUUUUUUUAUUUAUUUUCCUAAAGAAUCCUUAUACUCCUAAUGAUUGAAACCUUUUUUUUAAUAAAUAUCACAUAACAUAUCAUAGGGGUUGUCUCACAAGAAAAAGUGAAUUCAUUUGUUCUUAAGCUUCCUUCGCAUGUGUCUACUUAUUUCUAAGAUGGACAUGAUCAGUCAUUUUUAUCUUUGACCACAAUUCCAUAUUUUAGAUGAAUACUCACAAUGAAAACGGAGUUUUAUUUAAAAUAAAAUAUCUUUCGUUAUCGUAAACUAUACCGAGCGGAACAACAUAGGUAACGGUACUGGUGUUAGUGUUCGUUUUUUAUGGAAUUCGAUAGGUGUCGUAACGAACCAAAUCGAUACUGACUGAACAACAUUGGUACUGGUACUGGUAUUAAUGGAACCAGUGUCGGUAUAUAUUGUUAUGCUUUUCGAUCAAUGUAAAACACGUCUCGUUAUUCUUUUGGACAUAUCACAGCUUUAUUUUUUUUUUGCCAAUGUCCAUAAUAGAACAUGAUAACACCAAUGUAACUUAAAGUCUAGAAGUCGAGCUAUCUUUGCUAAAAAAAACAUUUUUAAUAUAAGGUAGUGUCAUCAGUUUGUAAUGGAAGGAUUGAUGAAAAAUACAAAAGGUGGUGGGGGAUUUUGAUCAAAACCAGUUCCGACAAUAGAGCCCCCGCCACAUGCUCAAUCGCUUUACGACGACCGCAUCCAGGUGUUUUCUUUGCCUUGGUGAUAGGAGGUGUACGUUCCUUUUGGCUAAUGAAAUUCAAAACAUAGGAUACCCUCAAAUGAUUGGCUAAUGAAAUUCAAAACAUAGGAUACCCUCAAAUGAUAAUAUAUAUCAUUCUUAAUUUGUUGAACAUAAAAGACAUCAUUAGUUAACGUUUUAUUGACUCAAUUACAAGGGAAAUUAUUAUAAAUAUCAAUAAAAGUUAGUAGGUGUGAAAUGCACGCUCAAUCGAGACUAUCUUCUUCUUUCCAUCACCAACGAACCCAUGUGGUUCGAAGGGGCAAUCCAAGGGGCAACCUUCUCUAUCGGGGUUCCAAGGAAGAUCAGUAAUGGGGUUGAGCCACUCAUGAGUCAAUUAAUUGAAAGGGUUUGAGUUUUGCUUGGUUAUCGUUAAUAUAUGUAAGGAAUGAUUUAUUGAUGGUAAGAAGUAGAAUAUCAGUAGUAACUAGUAACUACUAACCGCCAUCAUUGGGAACUUGUGUUGGUAGUUAGUGACAACUAAUAAUCAGCGGGCGAUCACAAAGUCAUUGCUCAUAGGAACCAACCAUGAACAAUAGCUUAGCAGUAAUUGGUUAUCAAAUUAACUGCCAACAUGAAACAUUUUUUCAUGCCGUAUAAGUUCACACCUAUAACACGUAAUCUUUGGUCUAGUUUGGGUGUUGUUUUCAUAACACAAAACAAAUGGUCAUUCUUGAAUUUUUCUAAAUUAUUAAAAAAUAUUACCUUUGAUAUUAUAUAUAUUAAAUUGCUAAAAUGGAAAAAGAAAUAAUUAUUAAACACGUUACGAUAUGGGUACAUUUGCAUAAAUACAUGUGUGGUCUCGUGUAUCUUCUUUGUUGAUGGUGGAUGUUUCGGGGUGCCGAAUCUAUUUGGAUUGUGGGGGCAUGGAAGGAAGACAAAUUGUCACAAUCGGUGUUAUUUAUUAUUUCAUGUCUGAUGCGAUGCUAUAGUUAUAAUGUUUUUUGAUACAAUAUAAACUAAAAUAAUAUUCUUCAAUAAAAUAAAUUAAUUAAAGACUUUUGCUUCUGGCCAAAACAAAAAUACGUAUAUUAUAGUGAGGGGACACAUGCAAUGUUUGUAGUCAUAAAUAGUACAUCUUUUUAAAUAUAUUACUUAUAUUAUACAAUAACUAAAUAUACUAAAUAAUAUAUAUUACUUUUAGUUAUAUGAUGAUGAUGAUGUGCAUUGCACUAGCUUUGAUGUAUGAAGUAGAUUUUCAUGAAAAGUUUGUAGGAUGGUUUUUUGGUGUUAUGAUAGGCGUGCAUUAAAAAGUAACCGAUUGUUGAAUAGAGAUUCCAAUCAAAAUCAAUAUACAUAGAAACUGGUUUAGAACUCUCUUCUUUGAAAUUGGUUAAACCCGAACUUCGAUUUCUUUUGAAGACGAAUUUCUUUAUUUCUAUUGUUUGUGUGACUUGAACUCAAAAUCACCAAACUUAUCGAACUAGCGAUCUUCAUCUUUUCGCCUAGUCUCCCAAUAUCACCAGGUGCCGCAGAAAAUGAUGGGGAGGCCAGGAAUCGAACUUGGGUCCCUUAGAACACCAAGUCUCUUCUUUAUCACCCACCACCACCACCACCUCAUUGGCACCUCCUCCUUCCGUUGCUUGCAGAUGUAUUAAAUGACCGAAUAAGUUACUAUAAGGCUAUAGGGUGUAGUCAUGACCUUUAUAAUAAUCAUGACCCCCCAUAUCAGAGUCAUUUCACCCACUUCUAAUCCAUCAUCCAAAACCACUAGGAUGUGACCAUGACUCAAACCACUAUUUUUUUAAUUUAUUUUUUAAAAAGGAAAAAGGACAUAUUGAAAAAGGAAAGGAGGCCCAUGAUUGUCAUGGUUUAAUCUAUGCUAACCAUGGUGAAUGAGACAAGAGAGUGAUAUAGCAAUCCCUUAAGGGUCCUAUGUGACAUUAAUGACACAACCUAUAUCUCCUACACUCUUUAGCCUAAUGAGCUUUUGAGUCUAUGCUAACCAUGAUAUAGCACAUUAAUUGGAAUUGGAUGGUCAUUUAUUUAUAUAAUAAUUAGAUAUAAUAAUAUACAAUAAUAAAUAAAAUAAUAAAGAUGGAAAUGAAUGAGUGGCUGACAAGAAAAUAACAAAAAAUAAAAUAAAAAACAGUAUAAAAUACAGAAAACUGUUGAGUUGCAAUAGUUGAAGGGGCGAAUAUUAGUGUACUUUGCAUCAUAUCACACAGGUAGUUAAUACAUACAAACACCUUUUUCCUCUCUGGACUUUGGUUCCUUCCUUCCUUCCUUGUAGAUUCUUCUCUGCAAAUAUGAAGCAGCAGCAGCAGCAAAACAAUCAUCAUCCUCAUUCUCGUUCUCAUACUCGCUCAGGAAGUCACAGCUCCGAGGUGUUGUGGCCGAGACUGGUGAUAAGGAAGUGGCUCAAUCGGUCUUCCAGAACCUCCGAAUACAACGCUGAUUCGGAUGAUGAUACUGCUUACGGAACCGACGGAGACGAAGAGUCUUCUGACUGGCCGAAAGAAUUACGGUUCAAGGAUAAUAAACAAGGAGAUGAUUUACAGAGUGAUACCAGUGGUGCUGUUCCUAGACCAAGACGACGAAAGUCAGAGACGUUUAGAGCACAGUACAUUGAUGCAAAAGAACUCAAAGUGUCUGUUAGUACAUGGAAUGUUGCCGGGAAACUGCCACCAGAAGAUUUAGAUAUUAAAGACUGGCUUGAUGUUGACAAUCCUGCUGACAUAUAUGUCAUUGGUUUUCAGGAGAUAAUACCUUUAAACGCUGGAAAUAUUUUUGGUGCUGAAAGUAACCGUCCGGUCCCGGUAUGGGAAAACAUAAUUCGCGAGACCCUCAAUAAAAUUCCAUCCGAAAAAACUAAAUUCAAAUACUACAGCAACCCCCCUUCUCCGUCACGGUUUAAACCAUCUGACGAUGUGCCGGAUAUAGAAGAUGUUGUAGUGCUGGAAACGGAUAGUGAGUGUGAGGAGGAAAUCCACCCGUUUAACGAGGAAUCCAAUUUCGACGACCUCAUGGACGGUCCCGCAGGGCAAAAUCGCAGUUUGAGUACCGUUGUGAGUAUGGAAGUUGUCGGGGAUUCGGAGAAACGCUAUUCGUCUCAAAAAACGCUAGACAGAGUAAAUUGCUUUUCGGUUGAAGAGUCUGAAGGAACUGUAAAAGAAAAUAUAAAUGAUUCGGUUUCGGGUAAUAGUAAAAAGUUAGCCAGAUUAUUCAGUGGGACCGAAAGGAUCGGAUUGAGCUGGCCCGAGCCACCGUUGGAUCUACUGGCACAGUGCGUAUCAGCACCAGAGAGACCAAGCCCGUUGCAAACUGUUAAAUCGUUCAAAGCUUCGAAAUCUUUUAAAACCUAUGCUUCUUUUAAGUCCUACGUAAAUGUGGACAAUCGGGUCAUGCCCGAGGAACUUUUUCUUCCUGAUCUGAACCUUGAUUCGACAUUGUACCGAAAGAGGAGACCCGCAUAUGUUAGAAUAGUAAGCAAGCAAAUGGUUGGCGUAUUUAUUACUAUUUGGGUGCGUAGACAAUUAAGGAAACAUAUCCAAAAUGUACAUGUGUCCGCUGUUGGUGUUGGUGUGAUGGGGUACAUAGGUAACAAGGGAUCUAUUUCAGUGAGUAUGUCGAUAUAUCAAACACUCUUCUGUUUCAUUUGUACUCACCUAACUUCUGGUGAAAAGGAUGCUGAUGCAAUUAAAAGAAACGCGGAUGUUCAUGAAAUACGUAAAAGAACACGCUUCAAUUCAUUUUUAAAUUCUACUCUUCCCAGAAGGAUAGAGAAUCAUGAUCGAAUUAUUUGGUUGGGUGACCUAAAUUACCGCCUCAAUUUGUCAUAUGAGAAGACGUGCGACUUAAUUUCCCAAAAUGAAUGGUCCAAGUUGUUAGAGUGUGAUCAGGUAAGUUGGUAUUACCGGUUAAAUCCGUCAUUGUAUAUUGAAUAAUUAUCUUUUCCAUUGUAUAUUGGUAUUACCGGUAAAUUGGUUUACGCCCCGCUUGUGGUACGUGCAUAUAAUGUAUAUAUUGUCUGGGCGCUCGGGGGGCAAAAGUGAAAGUGCGCUAAUUUUAACGUUAGUUUACUAAUUUCGUGAAAAUAAUGUUAAAAGAGGGGGAUGGUUAAUCAUGCAUCAUGUGGUGGCGUUGAUAGCCGAAAGAUAAGGGAGUACAUGCACUAAUUGGCCUUUGUCUUAAUUGCCGAGUAUUAUGUGCCUUAUGUCCAAGGUUUGAUGCAAAACUACCAUCGAGCCGGGGGUCUCACUGGAAGCAGCCUCUCUAUUCCUACGGGGUAGAGCUUCUUCGUGAGUUAAGAAAAGGUCGUGCAUUUGAUGGAUGGUCAGAAGGCGUUUUGGAUUUCCCUCCAACUUACAAGUACGAGCGAAAUUCAGACAAAUAUGUUGGUGCGGAUCCAAAAGUUGGAAGACGAACUCCUGCGUGGUGUGACCGCAUACUUUCGUAUGGGAAAGGAAUUAGGCAGCUGGGCUACAGAAGGUCUGAAAUAAGGUUUUCAGACCAUAGGCCGGUGAGUGCAUCGUAUAUGAUAGAAGUUGAAGUCUUCUCUCCAAGAAAGUUACAAAAGGCCCUCACAUUCACUGAUGCGGAGAUCGAAAAUGAUGAUGAAAUGGCGAUAGUAGAUGCUGGAAUAAAUUGCUUAAGAUUAAUCCCUGAGGAAGCAGCCUCUCUGUCCCUUAGGAUAAAGGUAAGGAUAUAUUGGAAUCGAGUUGACGAUGUCGUUUUGGAAUCGGAACCUUUACAUUUACUAUCAUCAUAUGUUAUACUUAAUGUUUCAGAAGUAUACAUCUAUACCUCAUGAGGUGCUACUUGUGUGUAAAUUAUGUUGUGUUCAUAUUAGGUUAGCAAGGUAGUCCUACAUGCUAUAAAGUUUUUUAAUAAAGUUGUUGAAGUGCAAAUAACAUUUUUUCCAGGUAGUUUCUGUUUUAAGGAUUUUCUUGUGGUUAUAAGCUAUGGAUUUUAAAGUUGUUUGUU